rnacentral:lncRNA from 1 species
CCCCCAUGUAAUGAUAGACUGUCAGCUCUGAACACCACCUUCCCUUUUGCCACAUUUCUGCCGCCUCAAGGGGUGAGGGUUGCAGGUCAGCGUCCUGGGCACAGCUUGACGAUGGCAGUGGUCAGCUCUGAAGUGUGUUGAGUGCCAGGCUCCCAAACUUGGCCACCAGAGCGAACCAGCAAGCUUUCUGGCCACCUUUCCCGUUCGUUUCCGAGUCCUUAGAAAGCAUAGGGAUAGAAGAAGCGAUUGAGAAAAGUCACUGCAGGCUGAGAGUCGACUGGCGCCUGGCGCCUUGGUUCCUCUAGGUCUUUGCGUCGGCAUACGGUGGUGACUUCGCCAAAGAGGUCACCAGCAUCAUCGUGGCAGUUUUGGUGCCGGACUUCCGAGGUCCUCGACAGCCCUCUGUUCGUCUUCGGGCUAUGUGCUGAGAGCAGCCCAAGGGCUGAGGUCUGCGUGGCCAAGUCCAAGGCAGCGCACUCCGUGGCUGAUGCGCUCUCCACGAGACGCCCCUUUUCAGCACCCACAGCCUCCCAUGUCGGGGCGCUCCUAAGUCCUUGCACUGGCUACUUGGUGGGACCCCACCCUGAGACUAGGAACAGAGCUAGCUGAUGGAAAGGGGUGUUACAACCUGCAGUCUCGGAGCUGUCGCCCUGCUGCCUGCCAAGACCUGUGCACGGAGGGCAGGGCCCUAGAGCUCAGCUGAGCUCGGUGGAAGCCCCGCGAUCUGGCAGCAGCUGUGGCUCGGGUGCAGCCAAUUCGGCGCUAGAGGGGGUUUGCUAUGUUGCCGAGCAUGUGGUCAAUUUUAGAGAAGGUUCCAUGUGGUGCUGAGAAGCAGACAUAGAGCAACAGAUCACUAGCCUGCAUUCCACACUGCCAGAGGAGCUAGGAAACAAGGAGGACCCCAAGAGAAGAUUGCAUAGUUCCUCGAAGAAGGGGAUGGGGACAAGAAUCCCUGACCAAAUUGGAGCCCUGGGGCAGGGAGAGGAAGGAGAGUCUUCAUCUAGUUGCUGUU